AUCCUUGCAGACGAUUAUAAAUGCAAAAACACUUUAAUUAAACCUGCGUACUACUUCACAUAAGUCUUGUUGGCGGUGCUUCACUCACAUGACAUACUCUACCUGUUGUAACACAAUUCCAACGCACCCUCUCUGAUAGGGCGGGAUAUUUAAACCGUUGGCCUGCUGCGCCACAGCUCGUUAACGGUUGUAACACCGCCAGAAACACUUUCAGCUACCAUAGCCGCUGCUUCUUCCACUCAAAAAGCAUUUCUUAACCUACCAGAGCCUGUGGCACCAUGAAGGCUUUGUGCAGGAAAUAAUUAUCAAUUUUAGUCGGCCGUUAGUCAAACUAACCAACAAACAAACUAACCCAGGGACACCCGUUUUGCUGUGGACUGCGUCAGACCUGGACCCAAAGCAUUCAGCGCUUAACUUCAUCACUACUUCACCGGAGUCUUGGCCAAGAAUUAUAAAGCAGAGGAAGAGUGGAGGGUACGACAUCUGUGGGGAAUUAUCCAUCUGUUGUGUCUGUCUGAGAGGCUGGCUCGCCGCACCACUUUUCUGUGGACACAGGAGUUCCCGGUCCAGCAGGAUGGCUCUGAACUCCUCAUCCUCACACAGGUCUUAAAAGGAAGGACAGGAUGAAGGACAGUUUAUGUCAGUAUAUGCCCUUCGAAUGAAACGUGCUUUGAUAUUCUUUCAAAUAAAAGAAAAAAGCCAGGAUUAUAA